rnacentral:rRNA from 1 species
UGGGGAAUCUUGCGCAAUGGGCGAAAGCCUGACGCAGCAACGCCGCGUGCGGGAUGAAGGCCUUCGGGUUGUAAACCGCUUUCAGUAGGGACGAACUCAGACGGUACCUACAGAAGAAGCACCGGCCAACUACGUGCCAGCAGCCGCGGUAACACGUAGGGUGCAAGCGUUGUCCGGAAUCAUUGGGCGUAAAGAGCUCGUAGGCGGCUUAGUAAGUCGGGUGUGAAACCCCCAGGCUCAACCUGGGGACGCCACCCGAUACUGCUAUAGCUAGAGUCCAGUAGGGGAGUGCGGAAUUCCCGGUGUAGCGGUGAAAUGCGCAGAUAUCGGGAGGAACACCAGCGGCGAAGGCGGCACUCUGGGCUGGUACUGACGCUCAGGAGCGAAAGCGUGGGUAGCGAAC